rnacentral:pre_miRNA from 1 species
CACGCUCGUCGCCCCGGCGCAGGCCGGGGCCGCUGGGUAAUUUUGCGAGCGGGGCGCCCUAUUACGCGGCGGCCCCGGCCUGCGCCGGGGCGACGAGAUGA